UCCACUGGUAGGCUUCUGAGAUAUGAUCCUCCUACUAAGACAACUCAUAUUGUCUUGGAAGGUUUGGCUUUUCCAAAUGGGUUGUAGCUUUCUAAGGACCAAACCUUCCUCCUCUUUACUGAGACCACCAACUGCAGGCUAAUGAAAUAUUGGCUAGAGGGUCCUAAAAAUGGGACAGUGGAACUUGUUGCUGACCUUCCAGGUUUUCCAGACAACAUAAGAAUAAAUGAGAAAGGCCAAUUCUGGGUUGCCAUAGAUUGUUGCAGGACCCCAGCACAAGAAAUCCUCUCUCACAAUCCAUGGAUAUGAAGUGUAUACUUUCGCUUGCCGAUCCGAAUGACCUACUUAGCGCAAUUUAUGGGGAUGAAGAUGUACACAUUGAUCUCCCUCUUCAAUGAGAAGGGGGAAAUUUUAGAAGUUCUCGAAGAUCGAAAGGGUGCCGUUAUGAAACUUGUGAGUGAAGUUAGGGAAGCAAAGGGCAAACUGUGGAUUGGAACUGUGGCUCAUAACCACAUUGCCACCCUUCCUUACCCUUAAGAAUCAUUUGGGGCUGUAGAUGAAUAUCUUGUUGUUCAUACAAGCCCUUUAGCAACGAUAUCAUAAAUGGGUGGCUUGAUUUAUGAUUUGUGUAACAGUAUUGAUAAUUAGAUGAUUUGAGGUUUGUGGCUUUU